GAUGAAGAACGCAGCGAAAUGCGAUAAGUAAUGUGAAUUGUAGAAUUCAGUGAAUCAUCGAAUCUUUGAACGCACAUUGCGCCCGCUAGUAUUCUGGCGGGCAUGCCUGUUCGAGCGUCAUUUCAACCAUCAAGCCCUGCUUGUGUUGGGGUCCUGCGGCUGCCCGCAGGCCCUGAAAACCAGUGGCGGGCUCGCUAGUCACACCGAGCGCAGUAGCACAUCUCGCUCAUGGCGUGCGGCGGGUUCUUGCCGUAAAACACCCCCUUUUUACCAAGGUUGACCUCGGAUCAGGUAGGAAUACCCGCUGAACUUAAGCAUAUCAAUAAGCGGAGGA
rnacentral:misc_RNA from 1 species